GACGAACGCUGGCGGCGUGCCUAAUACAUGCAAGUAGAACGCAGUUGCGAACGGGUGAGUAACGCGUAUGUAACUGCCUCAUAGCGGGGGAUAACUAUUGGAAACGAUAGCUAAUACCGCAUUCUUUGAGAUGGACCUGCGUUGUAUUAGCUAGUUGGUGAGGUAAAGGCUCAACAAGGCGACGAUACAUAGCCGACCUGAGAGGGGGAUCGGCCAAAAUGGGAAUGGGACACGGCCCAGAAUCCUACGGGAGGCAGGCGUAGGGAAUCUUCGGAAAAGGACGGAAGUCCGACCGAGGAACGCCGGGUGAGUGAAGAAGGUUCUCGGAGCGUAAAGCUAUGUUGUUAGAGAAGCGUUAACUAACCAGAAAGGGACGGCUAACUCCGUGCCAGCAGCCGCGGUAAUAC
rnacentral:rRNA from 1 species